AUGCAUGUUGGUACGAUUAUGGAAUCAAAUGAUGCAACUUUCUUUGAGGACAUAUUUCCUAUGAAGGAUAUGUCGAGUUCAUCAAAUCAGGAGAUACCUACUCCAUCUAGUGAGGAAUUCACUAUAAUUCCUAAACCCACCAUUGCGAUGGAACACGUUGAGAAUCCUGUUGAGGGUAACAAUGGAACUCCUGUGAGGACUAAGAGACAGAGGACUGCAAAGUCUUUUGGUGAUGAUUUCAUUAUGUACCUCGUGGAUGACACACCCAGGACUAUUUCAGAAGCCUAUGCAUCUCCUGAUGCUGACUACUGGAAGGAAGUUGUACGUAGCGAGAUGGAUUCCAUCUUAGCUAACGGUACCUGGGAGAUCACUGACCGUCCUUAUGGGUGCAAACCUGUUGGAUGUAAGUGGGUGUUCAAGAAGAAGCUUAGACCUGAUGGUACGAUUGAAAAGUACAAGGCACGGCUUGUGGCCAAGGGUUAUACCCAGAAAGAAGGUGAAGACUUCUUUGAUACUUACUCACCCGUGGCUAGACUGACCAUAAUUCGGGUGCUACUAUCACUGGCUGCCUCACAUGGUCUUCUCGUUCAUCAAAUGGACGUUAAGACGGCUUUCCUCAAGGGAGAGUUGAAGGAGGAAAUUUACAUGGAUCAGCUAGAUGGUUUUGUAGUACCUGGUCAGGAAGGAAUGGUGUGCAAGUUAUUAAAGUCUUUAUGGCCUUAA
rnacentral:rRNA from 1 species